rnacentral:lncRNA from 1 species
UGUGUUUACAGAGGCUUCAUUACGAAAGCAUGACUGACAAAACCAUUGGCUAUUGAUGAAAUUUCAGUCUUUAUUCAAGAUCAAGUGCAACUGUCUCUUUGAGGAAAGUCCUUUGACCGCCAUUUCUCCCCUUCAGAAGGCAAACACCUGGGGGAGAAGAUCUGCUUAAGGACCUGGUAACUGACAAAGAAUGGAAUGGGAGCGAGAACCGCCUAGCCAUCCCUUCUCCUUGCACAGUCAUGAAACAAAAGUUGAAAAGGAGCCUGGUUUUACUUGACCAGUCAUAAAUUACCAUAAAAUAAAAUGAGAUAUUAGGAACCUUUGAUCUCUGAAAAAGUAAUAUGUGUUGAAAAGAAAUAUCACUGUUACAUAUAGACAAAUAAUAGAAAUAUUUGAGGCAUGCAUUUAAAAUGUAGAGGCCACUUAUAGCAGGCAUAUUAACAUGUGCAUUUGCUUUUUAAGAAGUAUACACACGUGUACCUUUAGCUUUGAAAGGGUAAGAUUCAAUGCUUGGGUGAUGGAUGCACUAAAGUCUCAGAAGCCACCACUAAAGGACUUACCCACGUAACCGAAAACAACCUGUACUCCAAAAUCAAUGAAAUAAAAUAAAAAGGUAAGAUUCAUAAAUAGCAAGUUGAGAAUGCAUGUUUAUACCAUGUAGACAAUGCAUGA